rnacentral:lncRNA from 1 species
UUAUGUUGUGGGGAUAAACAUUAUGUCUCACUAGGGAAUGUCUGCCCCGCGUGACAUUGUAAGAGCUCAUAAAUCCACCCUUCAGGCAGUGUUAAUUAAACAUGCCAAAGGAGAUCUCAUUUUAAAAAUGGCCAAAAUGGGGCAACUUCAGUUUAUUCAAACUGAUAUGUGCACUCUGAAAAAGCCGGCUACAACACGGGAAGGCUGUUUGAAACAUAGGAGGCUUCUAAAUGACAUCGGAAAUACUUUACUGCCUCCUUAAGAGAAAACAAUUAAAUAAUUCAACAUGUUAGCAGCCAAAGCCACAUCUGCUGCUUCUCUCACUGAGACUCCCCACUUCAACUCCCCUGAAAUUCCUGAUCUAAAAUUAAACAAGUGAAAAUAAGUAAACCUGUGAGACAAUUUGGAAUCGUAAUGGCCGUUCUGGGGAGCCUCUGUUUCAGAAACACUUCUUAUUAAAUACCUGGUUACUUACCUACGUGAUACAGGCCUAACUUUGGAAGCCCACCUGCAUCACUGCCUUACUAAAAGACUCGUUCAACAAGAUGGAACAACCUACACCCUGAUUCAGUAGGAAGUAGUUAGAUAGGUCAUCAUCCCAAAUCCCUCAAGACUGAGAAAUGAACAUAAAAUAGGGGGUAAUUGAUACUGGCCCUGAUAUCAGUUCCCCUUCAUUAAACCCAGCAUAGACGGAGUUAAAACCAAAACAUUCUUGCCCAGCUUACUCCCUGGCUCCCUGGCUCCAGAAUCCACUAUCAGCCAUAGAGACAGAUGGCCAAGAACAGCCACCUGGAUUCCUAAUCAUCUUCUCCUCCUCCCUGCAAGCAGCAUCCCAAGGCUGAACACAGACUGGUGGGAAAGCUCUGACCAGCAAGGCCAUUGACUCCCCCACCUCUCCACAUUCUUCACAAACCUUUAAAACCCCUCACCUCCUCUCUUUCCGGGAAAUGAGAGGAAACAAGACAAAUUUGAGGGCUCACUCUCAUCUCCUGGCUGAUGUCACUCUAAAUAAAAACACUUUCCUUGCCAUAAGCCUGAUCUUCCAGCUUUUAUUUGGCCCCUCUUGUGUGGUGGGUAAAGAACCUAUGUUUGUAGGCGGUAACAAUCCCUACAUUUCAU